GGUUAACUUUCGGGUUACUCUUUAUUUAUUUAUAAUAUGGCCUAAAAAACCAUAUUAUUAAUUUUUUUAUACUAAAUUUACUGAAUAAACGAUUGACCAUAAUUUAUGGUUGUUUUAAAAAUAUAUUAAUUUAUAUAAAAACAACUUUCAGCAAUGGAUCUCUCGGCUUUCGUAUCGAUGAAGAACGCAGCAAAUCGCGAUAUUUAAUGUGAUCUGCCUAUAGUGAAUCAUCAAAUCUUUGAACGCAUCUUGCACCCUAUGGUAUUCCGUAGGGUACAUCUGUUUCAGUACCAUUCAAACAUCUCCCUCAAUCCUAUUUUUUUAUAGAGAAUGAGAUCAGAGAUAAAUUAUAAAUGGUCCUGGGUAAGCUGUGCUAUAGUCUUUAUUGACUAUACCUGACGGAAUUCUAUCACUACCCGCCCUUAUAUCUUUAUGGUAUAAGCUCGGUGCUAGGAGGUAGGAGCAUAG
rnacentral:rRNA from 1 species